GCCGGCGUGGCGGAAUUGGCAGACGCGCUGGACUCAAAAUCCAGUGAUCGCAAGAUCGUGUGGGUUCGAUCCCCUCCGCCGGCACCU
rnacentral:tRNA from 1 species